GACCAAGCCGACACUCGGGACUGAGACACGGCCCAGACUCCUACGGGAGGCAGCAGUGGGGAAUUUUGGACAAUGGGCGCAAGCCUGAUCCAGCCAUGUCGCGUGCGGGAAGAAGGCCUUCGGGUUGUAAACCACUUUUGUCAGGGAAGAAACGGCUCUCACUAAUACUAGGAGCUAAUGACGGUACCUGAAGAAUAAGCACCGGCUAACUACGUGCCAGCAGCCGCGGUAAUACGUAGGGUGCAAGCGUUAAUCGGAAUUACUGGGCGUAAAGCGUGCGCAGGCGGCUUUGCAAGACAGAUGUGAAAUCCCCGGGCUCAACCUGGGAACUGCAUUUGUGACUGCAUGGCUAGAGUAUGGUAGAGGGGGAUGGAAUUCCGCGUG
rnacentral:rRNA from 1 species